rnacentral:rRNA from 1 species
CCUACGGGAGGCAGCAGUGAGGAAUAUUGGUCAAUGGGCGCGAGCCUGAACCAGCCAAGUCGCGUGAGGGAGGACGGCCCUACGGGUUGUAAACCUCUUUUGCCGGGGAGCAACGGGCGUCACGUGUGGCGCCACUGAGAGUACCCGGAGAAAAAGCAUCGGCUAACUCCGUGCCAGCAGCCGAGGUUAUACGGAGGUUGGGAGCGUUAUCGGGUUUUAUUGGGUUGAAAGGGUGCGUAGGCGGAUCGUUAAGUCAGUGGUCAAAUUGAGGGGUUAAACCCCUUACCGCAAUUGAUACUGGCGCUCUUGAGUGGAAGAGAGGUAUGCGGAAUGCGUGGUGUAGCGGUGAAAUGCAUAGAUAUCACGCAGAACCCCGAUUGCGAAGGCAGCAUGCCGGCUUCCGACUGACGCUGAAGCACGAAAGCGUGGGGAUCGAACAGGAUUAGAUACCCUAGUAGUC